GACGAACGCUGGCGGCGUGCCUAAUACAUGCAAGUCGAACGCUUUUUCUUUCACCGGAGCUUGCUCCACCGAAAGAAAAAGAGUGGCGAACGGGUGAGUAACACGUGGGUAACCUGCCCAUCAGAAGGGGAUAACACUUGGAAACAGGUGCUAAUACCGUAUAACACUAUUUUCCGCAUGGAAGAAAGUUGAAAGGCGCUUUUGCGUCACUGAUGGAUGGACCCGCGGUGCAUUAGCUAGUUGGGGAGGUAACGGCUCAACAAGGCAACGAUGCAUAGCCGACCUGAGAGGGUGAUCGGCCACACUGGGACUGAGACACGGCCCAGACUCCUACGGGAGGCAGCAGUAGGGAAUCUUCGGCAAUGGACGAAAGUCUGACCGAGCAGCGCCGCGUGAGUGAAGAAGGUUUUCGGAUCGUAAAACUCUGUUGUUAGAGAAGAACAAGGAUGAGAGUAAAAUGUUCAUCCCUUGACGGUAUCUAACCAGAAAGCCACGGCUAACUACGUGCCAGCAGCCGCCGUAA
rnacentral:rRNA from 1 species